GAUGAACGCUGGCGGCGUGUCUAAUACAUGCAAGUCGAGCGAACAGACGAGGAGCUUGCUCCUCUGACGUUAGCGGCGGACGGGUGAGUAACACGUGGAUAACCUACCUAUAAGACUGGGAUAACUUCGGGAAACCGGAGCUAAUACCGGAUAAUAUAUUGAACCGCAUGGUCCAAUAGUGAAAGACGGUUUUGCUGUCACUUAUAGAUGGAUCCGCGCCGCAUUAGCUAGUUGGUAAGGUAACGGCUUACCAAGGCAACGAUGCGUAGCCGACCUGAGAGGGUGAUCGGCCACACUGGAACUGAGACACGGUCCAGACUCCUACGGGAGGCAGCAGUAGGGAAUCUUCCGCAAUGGGCGAAAGCCUGACGGAGCAACGCCGCGUGAGUGAUGAAGGUCUUCGGAUCGUAAAACUCUGUUAUUAGGGAAGAACAAAUGUGUAAGUAACUAUGCACGUCUUGACGGUACCUAAUCAGAAAGCCACGGCUAACUACGUG
rnacentral:rRNA from 1 species